AGUAACUCAGUUCAUUCUAUCAGUUUAAGUUCAGUUUAUUCUAUUCAACCUUCACUACAGUUCAGUAGCAAACAAUGUUAUUUUACUGGACUACAUUUAUCUGCAGAUUAACAACAAAACAUAUUAAAGCUGCAAACAGCAUUGAACAGGUCUUCACUGUACCAAUUUCAAGGAUUAUGGCACAAAGUUUAUAUAAACAGUACAUGUGAACAUAGAGAAUUUUCACAGCUAUAAUGUGUUUAUAAGGAGGCUAAAUGACACAGACAGGUCUUAGGAACAUACUAAAGCUCAAAUAGUGUUUAAAAUGUCCAUGGCCCUUUUACUGAUGCAGAAGGUUUUGAUAACUUUUCAUCACUACGUCCUACUGACCAAAUCUGAAUGUUCUUGGAGUUCCCCUCUAGGAGGAAUUCGUUGUUGAACAUGAUCAAAUGGUGGACUUCCUGUUGGGUUUAGAACAUGGCCACGACUGACUGUUUUAUUAAGCCUGAUGUGCUGCAAAUGCUGACCAAAUCUGGAGGUUGUAGGUGAAACGUGCUGCCUGUAGGAAAGUGUAGGGGGCGCUAUGAGGCAUUUUGCCACACAGUUUUCACCAGUUCAGGUAGGCAGGAUAAAAUAUAUCUAAAAUACAUAAUAUUAUCUGCACCUUUACCCUGUAAACAGUUGAGAACAUCAUCAGAGCUGCUGACAGAUAAAACAUUAAAACAAGUUCAAUCUAAAGUUCUGUUCAUCACUUGUGCUUCAUUCUGGACAAUCAGAACUUUUCUAUGUGGUUCUGAUCUCAUCUGACAGAACACUUUACAUCCACAACAUUUCAUCAGGUUCUAACAUGCAGAGCUUUGGAACACAUUUAUUUCCAGACAAACCAACAGAGUAGAAAAGUUGAUGAAGACCAGCAGCAGCAGCAGCAGCAACAAUCCACAGGAUAAAUCUAGAUGAUGGAGAUGUUGGGAGGACUUGAUGUUUCUGGACCAGUCUGCCAAUAGAAACUCUACCAGGAGCUGAACUCCAGACAGCAGAUCUCCCAGCAUCCUCUGAGCUCACAAACCCUCCACCACCAUAAGGUGGCAGUUAAAGGAGAGACCACAUGGUUGGUCCACACCUGGAUUCUCUUUGUUCUGCUGCUGCUGGUUCCAUCAGAGUUACAGAAGCUGUGCUUUGUUCUGCUGCUGUCCAGAAAAACUUUCACGUCUUUGUUUCAUAACAUCUGUUCAGCUGCUGCUUCAUCAUCAGGAGGAACUGGGAGGUCGGGAUUCUUCCUCGUGUGUCGUCUACAGAUCAGAAAAGCAACCAAAGCCACAGCAAGAAGAAGAAUCACACCCACUGCUGCUCCUACAAUGAUUCCAACCUUGUCUCCUCCAUCCUUAUCUCCUCCAUUCCUGUCUCCUCCAUCCUUGUUCCCUCCAUCCUUGUUCCCUCCAUC
ensembl:lncRNA